rnacentral:tRNA from 1 species
GGGCAGUUAGCUCAGCAGGGAGAGCAUUCUCCUUACAAGUUAAGAGGUCGCAGAUUAUUCAAUCCAUGCACUGCCUACCA